rnacentral:rRNA from 1 species
AAGCAUUGUUUAUAGAUCUGAGUAUAUCAAUAUUACCUUGUUCAGAACUUAAAGAGAAAUCUUGAGUUUAUGGACUUCAGGGGGAGUAUGGUCACAAGGCUGAAACUUAAAGGAAUUGACGGAAGGGCACACCAGGAGUGGAGCCUGCGGCUUAAUUUGACUCAACACGGGAAAACUUACCAAGACCGAACAGUAGAAGGAAUGACAGAUUAAGAGUUCUUUCAUGAUUUAUUGGGUAGUGGUGCAUGGCCGUUCUUAGUUGGUGGAGUGAUUUGUCAGGUUAAUUCCGGUAACGAACGAGACUGAAACCUAUUAAUUAGUUUUCUGCCUAUAAGACAGAAAUGUUCGCAAGAACAGGUGCGUAAGUACCACUUCUUAAAGGGACACAUUUCAAUUGUCCUAUUUUAAUUGUAGUUAUCUAAUUUCGGUUAGACCUCUUAAAU